GUCUUUUUGAAUUAUUUAAAAAGUCUGUUCUGCUCAAUGAGCCUUUAAAUAGCUGCAGUAAAUUGACUGUACAAAGGUAGCAUAAUAAUUAGUUUAUUGAAUGUAAGCUGGAAUGAAUGAAUUGAUGAAAAAUUGGCUUUCUUUAUUUUAUUUUUUUUUUGAAUUUAACUUUUAAGUAAAAGGGCUUAUAAAUUGUUAAGGGACAAGAAGACCCUAUAGAAUUUAAUAGUUUAUAAGUGUAAUAAAAUUUGUUAAAAUUAUUUAGUUGGGGUGAUUGGGAUAAUAAAUUAACUUUUUUUUAUUUUUAACAUGUUUUAAUAUUUGGUUAUUUAUUAUUGAAUUAAAUUCAUAAAUAUAAGAUUAAAUUACCUUAGGGAUAACAGUAUAAUUUUUAUGAAGAGUUCAUAUUGAAAUAAAAGCUUGUAACCUCGAUGUUGAAUUAAGAUUAAUUUAGGAAGGAAAAAUUUAAUAAGUUAGGUCUGUUCGACCUUUAAAUCUUACA
rnacentral:rRNA from 1 species